CAGUAGCCGCGGUAAUACGAAGGGGGCUAGCGUUGUUCGGAUUUACUGGGCGUAAAGCGCACGUAGGCGGACUUUUAAGUCAGGGGUGAAAUCCCGGGGCUCAACCCCGGAACUGCCUUUGAUACUGGAAGUCUUGAGUAUGGUAGAGGUGAGUGGAAUUCCGAGUGUAGAGGUGAAAUUCGUAGAUAUUCGGAGGAACACCAGUGGCGAAGGCGGCUCACUGGACCAUUACUGACGCUGAGGUGCGAAAGCGUGGGGAGCAAACAGGAUUAGAUACCCCUGUAGUCCCUGUCUCUUAUAC
rnacentral:rRNA from 1 species